ACUCCUACGGGAGGCAGCAGUGGGAAUUUUGGACAAUGGGCGCAAGCCUGAUCCAGCCAUGCCGCGUGAGUGAAGAAGGCCUUCGGGUUGUAAAGCUCUUUCAGCCGGGAAGAAAAGGCCGCGACUAAUAAUCGCGGUUCAUGACGGUACCGGAAGAAGAAGCACCGGCUAACUACGUGCCAGCAGCCGCGGUAAUACGUAGGGUGCGAGCGUUAAUCGGAAUUACUGGGCGUAAAGGGUGCGCAGGCGGUCUUGUAAGUCAGAUGUG
rnacentral:rRNA from 1 species